rnacentral:rRNA from 1 species
GACAAACGCUGGCGGCAUGCCUAACACAUGCAAGUCGAACGGACAGAACAGGGAAGCUUUUCGGAGUGGAACUAGAAAGUUAGUGGCGGAUGGGUGAGUAACGCGUGGACAACCUACCUUGUAAAGGGGAAUAACCUCGAGAAAUCGAAGCUAAUACCCCAUAAUAACCUUGCUUCGCAUGAAGUAAGGAGGAAAGGCGGCCUUAGCGCUGUCGAUACAAGAUGGGUCCGCGUCUGAUUAGCUAGUUGGUGAGGUAAAGGCUCACCAAGGCGACGAUCAGUAGCCGGCCUGAGAGGGUGAACGGCCACAUUGGGACUGAGACACGGCCCAAACUCCUACGGGAGGCAGCAGUGGGGAAUCUUCCGCAAUGGGCGAAAGCCUGACGGAGCAAUGCCGCGUGAGUGAAGAAGGCCUUCGGGUUGUAAAACUCUGUCCUUAUCGAAGAGAGAGUGUUGUAGUAACUGACAAUACUAGGACGGUAGAUGAGGAGGAAGCCCCGGCUAACUAUGUG